UAAAUGAAGUUAAGAAGCCAAAAAUGCUACUCUAAGAUAACAGGGGACUUUGUUUUUAUCGCUUUUCAGAACUAUACUAUAAUCUCUGACAUGUAACUUUCUGAAUUCUAAACUAAAUUAUGUGAGGUGUGUAUGGUUGUGGUGUAGUGGUUAUUCUUUGCUUAGGGAUCCCCAGUACAACAAAGGACUUGUUUUCUCUGAGAAAGAGAGGGAUGCUCAUUACGUGCACAGUCUUCUGCCUCCAAUAAUUUUGUCUCAACAACUUCAGGAGAAGAAAUUGAUGCAGAACAUCUGACAAUAUCAAGUCCCACUGCAAAAGUACAUUGCCUUGAUGGAGCUUCAAGUAGGACUUAGGAGUUUCACUAUCGUUUCUCAAUGUUGAUGAGCUUGAGCUUUUACAAGAGUAUGUUGAUCGUGAUAUUCAUAUUAAAGCUAAUAAGGACAAUGUAAUCAUUACUAUCAUGUAAGCUUCUUGAGGAUCAAUAACUAUAUUCUCUUAAACCCACAACCUUCAGAAAAACCUUGAACCAAAUCUGCUUUAGUUAUAACUUAUAAGAUUUCAAUUAUCAUUUUUUCUAAA